GGUCUGUAAAGCAUAUAUAUAUAUAGGGCCUGUUUAGUUAGAUAAACAACUUAAUAUUAGUGCUUAUGUAUAAAUCUUAAUGAUUUAUACUGAAGUGGUCUACAUAGGGACUUCACAGUUCCCAAUAGUGAUGUGGGACUUUCUGAUAAUUCUUAAUGAUUUAUAAUACUCAAGUGUUGUGCUGUGACUUUUUUAUCUUGGAACCUGGUUUUGGGACAUAACUCAUAAGUCAGUACUUGUUACAUCAUUAGGAUUUCAUGACACUCUUAGUUGAUGCAUUGUAUUUUGGCCUGUUUGUUUGUAGCAGCGUUUAACCAACAUUACAAUGAAACGUGAGUUUUGGAUUUGAUGAUUUUUGUGCUGGUUCAAGAAAGGAAAAAAUUAAGGGGUAUUAUAACAGUUUUUAUAACCUUAACCGUAGUUUUUAAACUCUAGAGUUUACUCAUAAUCAUACAAGUUUAUGACUCCUAGAUUAUAAAUAUAAAAUUGUAUAUGUAUAAACUCAGGUAAAUUCGUUUAGCCUCAAAUAGACUUGAGAGUUUUACAAUGACACUGACUGAGUGAUUUUUUUGAAACCCAAAUUAUAACAACCUAAUAAUAAGACUUUGUUAUGUACAAAACAUUAACUUCAUAGUUGUAGCACUCAACUCCAUAAAAGCAUCCAACAUCCGAGCAUGAACCCAUAUGCAAUGGAGGUAAACGAUGUUGUAGUGAGUCUCAACCUCAUAGCUUCAACACAUACAGAGUCAUGGACCAUAAAGCAUGAACAAACUCAUCAUUGCAAAUUUGCAAUGAACCCAACAGAACAGUGAGUUGAAUGAACCCGACUCUGAUGUGUUGACACUUGAAAUAUAGCUCUACUGAGCUAAAUCUAGCUCUCCAGUGAGAUGUUGGGCUUUGUGUUCUAGUCUCACGAGUUUACAAAUAUUGACUUGAGAAUUUCACAUACUUUACCGAAGAGCCUUUUUUCACGUGUGAAAGGCAAGGAACACUUCAAAAUAGUUGUUGCACUAGUGUUCAAUAGUUGUUGCACUAGUGUUCAAUUCCAUACUUCCUCAAAUACCAUUAUAACUCGUAGUCUGCAAUCUGCAUCCUUCAGUGCUGUUUUUAUAUAAUAGUUAUACUAAUAUUGGUGGACAUUGAGGUUUUUGUCUUAUUUGAAGAUUUGUGGUUUCAUGUUUAUCUUNNNNNNNNNNNNNNNNNNNNNNNNNNNNNNNNNNNNNNNNNNNNNNNNNNNNNNNNNNNNNNNNNNNNNNNNNNNNNNNNNNNGAAUUUAGAUAUUUUUUUAAACGACCAAUGUUAGUAUUUAGUUGUUAGGUUAGUAUUUUGUUCCUUCACUAGGGUUUGAAUGCAGGUCCUUCUAUUCCUUUAACCCUUAACUCAAACCAGUUAAGCUAUCCACCCCCAUCUAGAAGUUAUCGUAUUCAUGUGGACAUGCUAUAUUGUAUUUCUUUGUGGUGUCAUAUUUGUAGCUGUGCUAUGCCUUUGUUAUUAUCCAACAAAGAGGAAUAAGGUUAUUAUUGUGUGAGAAACAACAAAAGAAAAGUAGAGAGAAGAGUGAAAAUAUGCAGCAACAACACCAUUCCCGCAGCAGCAUUUUCUGCUCAAAUCAGUCCCAGUAAAUUGCAGAUCUCUCACAAUUUAACCGUUGGAUCGUCCUGAAACUUUGACACAAUGUUCAGGACGCAUAGGAGCACAUUUUGACCAUUGUGAUUUGGAUUUGGAGCUUUCUAAGCCAGUCUGUCGAGUCAUUUUCUGAGGUACGAAAAUAUGGU
rnacentral:lncRNA from 1 species